UUUUACUCUUCGUUUUAUUUGAAAUCUUUUGCGAUUAAUAUUUUUAUUUUUACUAGAUGAUAAAAUAUAAAUAGUAUUUUAUACGUGACUAAUUUUUUAAAAUUUUUUUACAAAUUUUUUAAAUAAGACGAAUGGUCGAA
rnacentral:pre_miRNA from 1 species